UCAGAGAUUGCCAACUCUUAUUGAUGAAAGGAAUGAGAAACUGAAAGAGGAGAUGUUGGGUAAACUAAAGGAUUUGGGCAACAUGUUUCUACGACCAUUUGGGCUUUCUACAAACAACUUUCAGCUUCAGCAAGACCCAAACACUGGAGGAUAUAACAUUAGUUUUCACAAGAAUGAACCAAAGCCACAAUAGCUAGUGGGACUGAUAUAGAAAUAUUACAAUGCCUUAAUGUAUUAUUUGUGUUUAGGUGUACUUAUAUUGGAUAUUUUUAUGACUAUAAUUACCAUAGUACUGUGUGUGAGAUAGAUUUGUCUGUAUAUGUUCAUUUAUCAGAAAUUACUAACUUUAUGAUGUUAUGGUUAUGUGUCUUUUAUUGCCAUUCAUUUUAUAUAUUUUGUAGCAAGUUUUGAAGCUGUCCCACAGAAAUUAUAUUAUUGGCUUGAUUUGAAA